GAUGAACGCUGGCGGCGUGCCUAAUACAUGCAAGUCGAGCGAACAGACGAGGAGCUUGCUCCUCUGACGUUAGCGGCGGACGGGUGAGUAACACGUGGAUAACCUACCUAUAAGACUGGGAUAACUUCGGGAAACCGGAGCUAAUACCGGAUAAUAUAUUGAACCGCAUGGUUCAAUAGUGAAAGACGGUUUUGCUGUCACUUAUAGAUGGAUCCGCGCCGCAUUAGUUAGUUGGUAAGGUAACGGCCUACCAAGGCAACGAUGCGUAGCCGACCUGAGAGGGUGAUCGGCCACACUGGAACUGGGACACGGUCCAGACUCCUACGGGAGGCAGCAGUAGGGAAUCUUCCGCAAUGGGCGAAAGCCUGACGGAGCAACGCCGCGUGAGUGAUGAAGGUCUUCGGAUCGUAAAACUCUGUUAUUAGGGAAGAACAAAUGUGUAAGUAACUGUGCACGUCUUGACGGUACCUAAUCAGAAAGCCACGGCUAACUACGUG
rnacentral:rRNA from 1 species